UACAUGGGGUGCAAACGUUGCUCGGAAUCAUUGGGCGUAAAGCGCGCGUAGGCGGUUGCUUAAGUCGGAUGUGAAAGCCCUUGGCUUAACUGAGGAAGUGCAUCCGAAACUGAGCAGCUAGAGUACGAAAGAGGGUCGCGGAAUUCCCGGUGUAGAGGUGAAAUUCGUAGAUAUCGGGAGGAACACCGGUGGCGAAGGCGGCGACCUGGGUCGAGACUGACGCUGAGGCGCGAAAGCGUGGGGAGCAAACAGG
rnacentral:rRNA from 1 species